rnacentral:rRNA from 1 species
CCUACGGGUGGCAGCAGUAGGGAAUAUUGCUCAAUGGGCGAAACCCUGAAGCAGCAACGCCGCGUGGAGGAUGACUGUCUUCGGAUUGUAAACUCCUUUUGUUCGAGAAGAUAAUGACGGUAUCUAACGAAUAAGCACCGGCUAACUACGUGCCAGCAGCCGCUGUACUACGGCGGGUGCAAGCGUUACUCGGAAUUAUUGGGGGUAAAGCGCGCGUAGGCGGGAUAGCAAGUCAGAUGUGAAAUCCUAUGGCUUAACCAUAGAAUCGCAGUUGAAACUGUUAUUCUAGAGUAUGGGAGAGGUAGGUGGAAUUCUUGGUGUAGGGGUAAAAUCCGUAGAGAUCACGAGGAA